rnacentral:rRNA from 1 species
UUUGACCUCUAAUCAGGUAGGGCUACCCGCUGAACU